UGCAGUGGCGCAGUCUCGGCUCACUGCAACCUCUGCCUCCUGGGUUCAAAUGAUUCUCGUGCCUCACCCUCCCAAGUAAUCCUCAACUGGGAUUACAAGUGCCCACCACCACGCCCAGGUGGCCAAGACUAAGCAGCAGAUUGAGGAGCAGCGGGUGCAGGUGCAGGUGGUGGAGCGGGCCCAGCAGGUGGCAGUGCAGGAGCAGGAGAUCGCCCGGCGGGAGAAGGAGCUGGAGGCCCGGGUGCGGAAGCCAGCGGAAGCGGAGCGCUACAAGCUGGAGCGCCUAGCCGAGGCAGAGAA
rnacentral:lncRNA from 1 species